CCUCAGUUUGAGUUCUGGCUCGAGAGUAGGGGAUAUUUGUUGUGGAUCAUCACUUUGACCACAAUUGACCAUGUCCUCAAUCAUGAUCGAAGUCUCAAAGGGAUCGAUCCUUAGUGAAUGCAAAGAUAGCAAGAGGUCAGCCAUGGCCAACCUAGAGAAGCAUGGAGAUCCAAAUUGACUGGCCUGAUCUAGGGCUUUCGACCCUUGUAGGCGGUAGCUCUGACCGUGGCCAUGGCCAGGGUAAGUAAAGGUCAGCAACAGCUGACUUGAGGAAGACUUUUCAUGUAAGACCGCUAUCCCAAUUGAAAAAGAGUUUAUCAACUUCAUGGUUAUGGAG
rnacentral:lncRNA from 1 species